CGUAGGGGGCAAGCGUUGUCCGGAUUUACUGGGCGUAAAGAGCGCGUAGGCGGAAAUUUAAGCGUGGCCUGAAAGCCCCCGGCUCAACCGGGGAGUGCGGCUGCGAACUGGGUUUCUUGAGGACGAUAGAGGAGAGUGGAAUUCCUGGUGUAGCGGUGAAAUGCGUAGAUAUCAGGAGGAACACCCGAGGCGAAGGCGGCUCUCUGGGUCGUACCUGACGCUGAGGCGCGAAAGCGUGGGGAGCGAACGGGAUUAGAUACCCCGGUAGUCCACGCCGUAAACGAUGGUCACUAGGUGUGUGUGGUAUCGACCCCGCACGUGCCGCAGCUAACGCAAUAAGUGACCCGCCUGGGGAGUACGGCCGCAAGGUUG
rnacentral:rRNA from 1 species